AUUAACUGGUUCCAAAAGUCAGUAGUGCUGUGGUUGAGAAACCCUGUUUAGCACCUGUAGGUUCCAGAGAGCACGGAUGGUGGUGGUCAUUGUGCUAAGUUUCAAAUUCAGUAUUUAGGUUUGGUUUUUAGCUUAUAGGCAACAAAUUGGCUGACUAUGGGGUAAAAAGGAAGCACCUCCUUUAUCAAGAUUGGCUUCAAAAGAUGUCUGCCUCCCCUUCUGGUGGGUCCUGUGUCCAUUCACAGUGUGAGAAAUGGAAAGGAGGUCACUAAGAGACUUGCAAUGGAUGUAAUAACUGGAUGCAGAAACUCUGGAUCUGAAGGGAAUGUUCAUGACUAUUUCAUCCCUCCUGCUGCCUUGGAGAACCAAACGCAGGAGCCACCCCAGGUGAAAACCAUCCAUUUCUUGGAGAAGUGCCACGGUGGGGUUGCAAGUCCCAGGAUCAAGAUUUCGAUGUGUCUCUUUUUCCCGUAAAGUGGCUGAAAUCUGAAGCUGAAUCUGCAAGUGUCAUGGAGUCAUUGAAUCUCACAGUCUCAACUGAUAAAAGUUAUUAAAGGUCGUCUGGUUCAGCCUUCUACUUGAUGUGGAAAUCCUUUCUACAGUAACUCUGUGUGGGA
rnacentral:lncRNA from 1 species